rnacentral:rRNA from 1 species
GUCCACGCCGUAAACGUUGUGAACUUGAUGUGGGGGGAUUUAGUCCCCUCCGUAUCGAAGCUAACGCGAUAAGUUCACCGCCUGGGGACUACGGCCGCAAGGCUAAAACUCAAAGGAAUUGACGGGGGCCCGCACAAGCGGUGGAGCAUGUGGCUUAAUUCGAGGCAACGCGAAGAACCUUACCUGGGCUUGAAAUAUAUUUGACAGCCGGUGAAAGCCGGUUUCUCUUCGGAGCAGAUAUACAGGUGCUGCAUGGCUGUCGU